CUGGGGAAACAUUUAGGAAAUGAUAGUAAUCCGUUCGAAGGAGCCGUUUCCUUUAGUAGCUUGACUAAAAAAUAAAGUCACUACAAGUGAAUCCCCUCAAAACAGCAGCUGCGCGUAAAACACCAACACCUUGGUGACCUGAGGCACUCGCGGAGUCUGACAUCUGCGGUGAAUGUUCUUUUCAUAAAAAGCAACCAAAGUGGAUGUCGGUGCGUAAUGGAUGUAAAGUUAAAACCGAGCGCAGAUCAGAAGAUAAGUGCAAGCAUAAUCCAAACUCUCUCCUUUCUGUCUCUGCCGGGUCUCUCGAUAUGAACUAACACUUCUGCGCUCCGAUGGCACAACAUAACCCUCCCUCCUGCUCGCACUUCUCCGCACCCCCUUCGUUUUGACAAUGGAGAGGAGGAGGAGGAGCGCGAGGGGAGCCGAAGACCUGGAGAGGAAUUUUGGGGAGGCCAAACAACACAAGAGGGCAGCAGACGAGAACGCGCUUUGAUUUUCCCGUGCACAAGAGCGCGUUUUGGACUUUUUGGACACAAUGCAUUUAUUAAAGAGGAACUUGAGAUAUUCGAGUCGCGCAAAAGUCAAAAGUUCACAGAGGGAGAGGAAUAAAAGAGUUAACGGCUCGGAAAAUAUCAAAGUUCACACGCGUAUAAUCUCAUUCUCCUUAGCACUAUAGUUUACCGCAAUAAAUCCGCGCAAGGGGGAAAGACAAAAUCCCGGUUUGACACGCGGAAUAAAAGCCACGCAUGUGAUCUUUGACAGUUCAACUUCUGCUACCCUCUAAAUCACUCUCCACAGUUCGGUCAUGAGAUAUCCAAUCGCGCUUGGGAACGAGCAAGACUAAACCGUGCCAUAUAAUGUGGGGACAAUUUUAUCAGCACGCCCGUUUUAGACGAAUUUACAACUGAUAACCAACGCUGCAGACAUAAACAGCCACAUUGCACCCUAUCCUUCAGAUGUGCGGUGUAAGGAAUGCAAAUACAAUGAGUGUUUUACAGCUCCCGACUCUUGGAGAGGUUCGGGAAUUAUAGCGAGCCCUGUGCCAUUCUUGCAUCACCCCCACACCUCUCCUUUGAGUGCCGUGCCUACAGACAUGUCAGAAUUGGUGUGAGAGACGCCACUCAAUUUCCGAGCAGUCUGUGCAUGAUAAAGCGCCUCUCCGGACCCUUUCAUCUCCUCUAAUCCACACGCCCAGCCAUCACCUUUACGCCUCCCAUCGCAGACCUAGGGCUGGGCUCCAUGUCCCUCCCUCACCCUGGGACCCUGACGCACGGCAAAAAGCACAGCAGCGUGAGUUUUCAUUUCUGGGUAAACUAUCCCUUUAAGGUUGGGAUCUGAUUAUGUAAACCAGCUCCACAUCUGACAGAGAGCAGGGACGAAACAGAGGUGAGAGAAGACAAGGAAAGCGCUG
rnacentral:lncRNA from 1 species